UACGUAGGGUGCGAGCGUUAAUCGGAAUUACUGGGCGUAAAGCGUGCGCAGGCGGUUGUGCAAGACAGAUGUGAAAUCCCCGGGCUCAACCUGGGAACUGCAUUUGUGACUGCAUAGCUAGAGUACGGUAGAGGGGGAUGGAAUUCCGCGUGUAGCAGUGAAAUGCGUAGAUAUGCGGAGGAACACCGAUGGCGAAGGCAAUCCCCUGGACCUGUACUGACGCUCAUGCACGAAAGCGUGGGGAGCAAACAGG
rnacentral:rRNA from 1 species